UUGCCAUUUGUUAUAUUUUAUAGGAUAAUUAUAUCAACCAACAGCCUGCUCCAUUGUCCUGUGAAUUGACUGUGACUAACUUAACUCAACCAUCAAUGGACUGUCUCUCUAAAAGAUUGUUUAUAUUCACUAAUGUCACUGAAGGAGAUGUGUAUAAUUAUACUGUUACUAUUACUAAUGUCGUUGGGUCUGCUGUUAAGAAUGGUUCUUUAGGUACAUAAUGAGUGUUUUGACUCUUUUUGGAAUACAGGAUUUUAGAGACGCUACAGUGACUGACUAUGUAUAAUAUGCAAUAAAUGUGUAAUGUACAAUAGUGCAAUAUGAAACACUUCAAUAUCAAUAAUAUUUGAUAAUUUCUAAUAGAAAUCCCUUAUUCAUCAGUUGAAGUGUGUCCAUCAGAGAUUCAAUAUUCACCUUCAACAGUGAUAAGGAGUUCUGCUUCGUCAGUUACAGAGCUAGGUACACCUACCAGUACAGUAUCUUCUAAUACUUCUGAUUGUGUUCUUCCUUGGACGGUUGGUGCAUUAAUUGGGGCAGUAGUAGUAGGAGCAGGGAUGAUUGUCAUUUUUCUUGUAAUUUUUGUGAUUUUAAAAAAGUGUGGUUACUUCUAGAGCGAUAAAGGCAGUGUACAUGUACAUGUAGAUUUAUCACGUCAUGAACAACAAGAGAAUAUAUAUAAAUCAUCACAAUCAUCAAAAUGAACAAUGAACAUUGUUAUCAGUCAUGUCAUGCAUUCAGUUUGUGCACAUUACAUGCUAGGACAUUUUAGUCCUUAUUCAGUCAUGUAAUAUUCUUCAUUAUAGUAUACAUUUGUUAUUUGAAUCACCUUAAUCAGUCAUGUAAUAUAUGAAUUCCUUGAUUAUAGUAUACAUAUAUUUGUUAUUUGAAUCAUCGUAAAA